UUCUGUUGUUAAUGGGAUGUGAGCCUACUCCUGAAGCAGCAAGACACUGAUGGAUGAGCUGGAGCCAACGCAAGGACAGAAAAAACAAUGUGGGUACGCACAAAGGAGAAGUUAGUGCCUUUGAAACCAGCACUGGGAUCCUUCCCUUCUCUGGGCAGCUUCUCUACGGGACUGGAGUAACAGCAGCAGCCUCAGGGAUACAGCUGUGAACACGACUGGCAGAGCAGAGGAACAUCAGGGACGGCAAGGAGCGUGCAGCAUCACAGUGCCUGGAAGCAGCGUGCUGAAGCUGCGCCUGCGAACAGUCCAACUCCUCAGGCCAGCGAGAGCCUCUGCGAGCUCCGGAGGGGAAAGGAGCUGCCAUCACUUCCCCGUGUGUUUGGAAAGGAAGACUGGAGGCAUUCACUGAAAGAGACCCUACUGGUUCUGCCACCAGCACUGCUGACCACCUCUCCAUCACAGGCUGUAGCACCAUCUCCUUCUGCAAAGCAAGUAAAUAACUCUGUGGUGAUAAAACUUGGGAAGAGUUCAAAAUGAAACACCGGCAGUGUUCUGCAUCCCUACUGUUCCCUGGUGCAUUGGCUGGCUGUCCUUUAAGAAAUCCCCAGUCAGCUUUUCUUUUGAAGGGAUAAUUUCUCACUUGCUUGCCUCUAUGGCCUGGAUAUUUGCCAUCUUAUGCCCAUUUGUAGCCUGGUCUGGGUUCAGAUCACCACGACUUGAAGCAUGCUUCAAGUAGAAUUACAUCAGGCUUCCACAACCAAGUCUGGUUCCCAAAUGUGAGGCACUCCAGUGCAGCUGAAGGAAUGGCUCAAAUGCUUCUGUUUUCCUGUUGCUGGAACCCCCUCUCUCUGCCCUCCAGAGUCCCUCGCUGCAAAGGCCAA